CAGCACCCCGAGUGGUCGGGACGAUUAUUGGGCCUAAAGCAUCCGUAGCCGGUUUUACAAGUCCUCCGUUAAAUCCAACUGCUUAACAGAUGGGCCGCGGAGGAUACUAUAAGACUAGGAGGCAGGAGAGGCAAGCGGUACUCAGUGGGUAGGGGUAAAAUCCGUUGAUCCAUUGAAGACCACCAGUGGCGAAGGCGGCUUGCCAGAAUGCGCUCGACGGUGAGGGAUGAAAGCUGGGGGAGCAAACCGGAUUAGAUACCCGAGUAGUCCCAGCUGUAAACGAUGCAGACUCGGUGAUGGACUAGCUUCAUGCUAGUCCAGUGCCGCAGGGAAGCCGUUAAGUCUGCCGCCUGGGUAGUACGGUCGCAAGACUG
rnacentral:rRNA from 1 species